rnacentral:rRNA from 1 species
CAAUAGCGUAUAUUAACGUUGUUGCGGUUAAAAAGCUCGUAGUUGAAUUCAAAACAAGGAUGGACUGGUUCACCUUUUGGUGUAACUGGUUGUCCUGUUUAAAACGUCGUGAACGCUGGGUGAUCUUAAUCGAUUGUCUAGUGUGAUCGGCAGUUUUACUUUGAAAAAAUUGGGGUGCUUAAAGCAGGCUAAUGCCUGGACAGUGGUGCAUGGAAUAAUAGAAUAUGACUACGGUCUUAUUUUGUUGGUUUUAGAGAUUGUAGUAAUGAUUAAAAGGGACUGACGGGGUCAUUUGUAUACCGGGGGGAGAGGUGAAAUUCGUAGAUCCUCGGUAGACAAUCUACUGCGAAAGCAUUUGACAAGAAUGUUUUCAUUAAUCAAGAACGAAAGUCAGAGGUU